GAAAGCUUUAGCGUCUGAGGAUGGGUCUGCGGCCGAUUAGGUAGUUGCUGGGGUAACGUCCCAACAAGCCGAUAAUCGGUACGGGUUGUGAGAGCAAGAGCCCGGAGAUGGAUUCUGAGACACGAAUCCAGGUCCUACGGGGCGCAGCAGGCGCGAAAACUUUACACUGCGCGAAAGCGCGAUAAGGGGACCUCGAGUGCGUGCGCAAAGCGUACGCUUUUCAGAUGCCUAAAAAGCAUCUGGAAUAAGGGCCGGGCAAGACCGGUGCCAGCCGCCGCGGUAACACCGGCGGCUCAAGUGGUGGCCGCUAUUAUUGGGCUUAAAGGGUCCGUAGCCGGACCAGUUAGUCCCUUGGGAAAUCUUACGGCUUAACCGUAAGGCUGCCAAUGGAUACUGCUGGUCUUGGGACCGGGAGAGGCAAGAGGUACCUCAGGGGUAGGAGUGAAAUCCUGUAAUCCUUGAGGGACCGCCAGUGGCGAAGGCGUCUUGCUAGAACGGGUCCGACGGUGAGGGACGAAAGCUAGGGGCACGAACCGGAUUAGAUACCCGGGUAGUUCUAGCCGUAAACGAUGCGAGCUAGGUGCCACGUGGAUUGCGAAUCCAUGUGGUGCCGAAGGGAAACCGUGAAGCUCGCCGCCUGGGAAGUACGGCCGCAAGGCUGAAACUUAAAGGAAUUGGCGGGGGAGCAC
rnacentral:rRNA from 1 species